GACAGAGGAUGCAAGCGUUAUCCGGAAUGAUUGGGCGUAAAGCGUCUGUAGGUGGUUUAUUAAGUCUACUGUUAAAGAUCAGGGCUUAACCCUGAGCAGGCAAUAGAAACUAAUAGGCUAGAGUACGGUAGGGGCAGAGGGAAUUCCCGGUGUAGCGGUGAAAUGCGUAGAGAUCGGGAAGAACAUCGGUGGCGAAAGCGCUCUGCUGGACUGCAACUGACACUAAAGGACGAAAGCUAGGGGAGCGAAUGGG
rnacentral:rRNA from 1 species